rnacentral:piRNA from 1 species
AGCCACAAGUAGCUAGUUAUUUCAUAAAUGG